AUUGAACGCCGGCGGCAGGCUUAACACAUGCAAGUCGAGCGGGGUGAUGGUGCUUGCACUAUCACUUAGCGGCGGACGGGUGAGUAAUGCUUAGGAAUCUGCCUAUCAGUGGGGGACAACAUCUCGAAAGGGAUGCUAAUACCGCAUACGUCCUACGGGAGAAAGCAGGGGAUCACUUGUGACCUUGCGCUAAUAGAUGAGCCUAAGUCGGAUUAGCUAGUUGGUGGGGUAAAGGCCUACCAAGGCGACGAUCUGUAGCGGGUCUGAGAGGAUGAUUCGCCACACUGGGACUGAGACACGGCCCAGACUCCUACGGGAGGCAGCAGUGGGGAAUAUUGGACAAUGGGGGGAACCCUGAUCCAGCCAUGCCGCGUGUGUGAAGAAGGCCUUAUGGUUGUAAAGCACUUUAAGCGAGGAGGAGGCUCUUUUGGUUAAUACCCAAGAUGAGUGGACGUUACUCGCAGAAUAAGCACCGGCUAACUCUGUGCCAGCCGCCGCAGUAACAC
rnacentral:rRNA from 1 species